rnacentral:sRNA from 2 species
GAGCAUGUGGUUUAAUUUGAAGAUACGCGUAGAACCUUACCCACUCUUGACAUCUUCUGCAAAGCUAUAGAGAUAUAGUGGAGGUUAACAGAAUGACAGAUGGUGCAUGGUUGUCGUCAGCUCGUGUCGUGAGAUGUUCGGUUAAGUCCUGCAACGAGCGCAACCCUUGUCCUUAGUUAAACGUUCUAGGGAGACUGCCCGGGUAACCGGGAGGAAGGUGGGGACGACGUCAAAUCAUCAUGCCUCUUACGAGUGGGGCAACACACGUGCUACAAUGGAUGGUACAAAGAGACGCAAUACGGCGACGUGGAGCAAAUCUCAAAAAACCAUUCUCAGUUCGGAUUGUAGUCUGCAACUCGACUACAUGAAGUCGGAAUCGCUAGUAAUCGUAGAUCAGCUACGCUACGGUGAAUACGUUCUCGGGUCUUGUACACACCGCCCGUCACACCAUGGGAGCUGGUAAUGCCCGAAGUCGGUUUUGUUAACUACGGAGACAACUGCCUAAGGCAGGACUGGUGACUGGGGUGAAGUCGUAACAAGGUAUCCCUACGAGAACGUGGGGAUGGAUUACCUCCUUUCUACGGAGUACACYUUUCAGUUUAGUGCUGAAAAAUACAACAAAAAUUAUUAAAUAUUAACGACAAAUAAUAGGUCAUGUCAUAUAUCUAGUUUUGAGAGAACUUUCUCUCUUUGUUCUUUGAAAACUGAAUAGUAAAGUAAAGAUAUUAAAUUAAUAUAACAACGACAUCAAAAAAUAAAUUAGUCAAUUUGUUUUGUGAUACCGAGUUAAUUAUUAUUCUAAAAAUAAUAAUUUAUUGAAAUGUCUUUGAAUACAUCAAACAAAUAGGUAAAUAUUGUUACAACUUUUAAAUAAGUAAGAGUUUGUGGUGGAUGCCUUGGGUCUGGAAGUCGAUGAAGGACGUGAUUACCUGCGAUAAGCCUCGUGGAGCUGGAUAUGAGCUACGAUACGGGGAUUUCCGAAUGGGGAAACCUARCUAGAGUAAUUUCUAGUUGCUGUAUAAUKAAUCAAAUAGUUAUACAGACGAGACACGUUGUGAACUGAAACAUCUUAGUAGCAACAGGAAGAGAAAAUAAAUAAUGAUUCCAUUAGUAGCGGCGAGCGAACGUGGAAGAGCYCAAACCGACAUUAGUCGGGGUUGUAGGACUAUCUACAUGAAGUUACAAAUCUUUAUCAUAGCAGAAUAGCGUGGGAAAGCUAAGCAAAGAGGGUGAUACUCCCGUAAGCGAAAUGGUAAAGACUUCUGAUAGUAUCCUGAGUAGGGCGGGGCACGUGAAACCCUGUCUGAAUCUGCCGGGACCAUCCGGUAAGGCUAAAUACUAACCAGACACCGAUAGUGAACUAGUACCGUGAGG